AUCUAUAGCCAUGCCACCCUGAACAAGCCCGAUCCCGUCUGAUCUUGGAAGCUAAGCAGGGUCAGGCUUGGUUAGUACUUGAAUGGGAGACCACCUAGGAAGACCAGGUCCUGUGGGCG
rnacentral:rRNA from 1 species